UCGGUGUUUUUUUCUCUUUCAUUCCUCUGUCUCUUCCCCGCGCCGCUCGAUCCCCUUUUCAUUUCGAACACGUAACCCAGAAGGCAACUGAGACUCUGAGAGAGAUAUCCAUGGCGAUUUGGAGCCCCCCCUCGCCGCUCGUUGGUUGGUGGUGACUCGUCGGCGCUCUCCCACCUGCUGCCCCGCUCCCUCCGCCUCGUCGUUGUUUCUCCAGCCCAAGGCCUGCAGCAUCUCUCCGCCCCGCAUCCACCUUGGCACCAUUAUUUCGCCGCUCGUCGGUUUUGUUCGAUUCGGUAUGUCCCCCCCUGUUGCUUUGAUCCUCAGCUUUGUAUGUUAGUGCGUAGUGUUUUCUCGGUCAGAUCUGUUUGCUUGUGUUAAUUUCCCGCAGCUUCUUGUGUAGAUGUGUGCGGUUCCGCCCUUCUGUGUUUGAAUCUCGUCUGUCAUGCAAAAUUUGAUUAGGGUUUCUGGUUGGUUGUUAGUUUCAUUGAUCUGCAUGUGUGUCACACCUUCAAUCGGUCUAUGGUUUCUGGGAUUGAUUUGCCAAGUGUGAAAACAGAGUCGCCUGAAGCCGAUGACCGAGGAGAUGACAGUCAAUUUGAUGGUUUACAGAGAGGUGUAGCCUUGAGUGUGGUGUGGUAGGCUGACUGCUGUACCCACGCGACAGGGUGUGUGUGCUCUGUAUUUUUUAGCAUGUCAUGCCGUGUGUGAGAGGUAUGUGUGACUCUAGUCUGAACUUUUCCCCCUGUUCUCUGUACCUAUCCCAACUUUCCUCUGCAUCCUCUCAUGUACUCUAUCUCUCACACCCCCAAAUCCCUCCUGCAAUUUGUGAGAUCUAUCGAUCUAUGAGAUGGGCACUGUGGUUAAUUGUUUGAAUUCGGCUGGUUGUUUGAUUUUGUAUGCGGUAUUUGAGCAAUUCGAACAUAGCAGAUCAUCGUUCAGUCCCUGUUCUCCAUUGUUAGUAUCUACUUCCUCCGUAAACUAAUAUAAGAACGUUCAGAUCACUAAUUAGUUUACAGAGGGAGUAUGUGUUAAUUUUCCCCUGGGCCAUUUUUACUGUCACAGUGUGUAUGUAUGGUUGGCAUGCUGGGUCGCCUUGGGAUUGUGGCUGUAAUUCUCAAUGGAUUUACAGUGCAAUUCCUGUCUGGAUUUACAGUGUAAUUCCUAGUGGAUUUACACUGUACUUCUCAUUUUGGGUUUACACUGUAAUUUUCAUUGGAUUUGCACUGUAAUUGUCAUUGGAUAUGCAGUUGGGUGAGAAUUUAAUUCCUAUUUGAUUUUCAGUGUAAUUACAGUGUAACCCCUAUUGGUUAAUCAGUGUAAUUCAUAUUGGUUUAUCAGUGUAAUUUUUAUUGGUUUUACAGUGUAAUUAGUACUGUAAUUCCUACUUUUUUUGUGUUUACAAUGUAAUUCCUAGUGGAUUUGCAUUGUGAUCCCCAUUAUAGCCCGUAAGUGUUGAUGCUAGUUUACCAUUUGAUUUCGACACUGUAAAUCUUAGUGUAAUUAGUACUGUAAUUUUAUGUUUUUACACAGUAAUUCUUUGUUGAUUUACACUGUAUAUGCACUGAAACUCUUUAUUAAUUUGCACUGUAAUUCCUUGUUGAUUUUCACUGUAAUUCUUUGUUGAUUUACACUGUAAUCUUAAUGGAUUUAUACUGUAAUCUUACUGGUUUGUCACUGUACAUUUUACUGGAUAUACACUGUAUUUCUUAGUGCAAAUUUUAGUGUUUUUUUACUUCACCUUUUUAGAGUGAUUUUCUAGUGCAAUCCCUAGAGGCUUUCUUUUAGUGAAUUAUUUUGAAUUAAUCCUGUAAUUCGUAGUGGUUUUGUCACUGUAAUUUCUAUAUCUUAUCAGUGUAAUUAUAAUUUUGCAAAUGCUACUGGGAUUUGUAGCACGCCAUCACUGUAAAUCCUAGCGGUUCUUUAUCAGUGUUAUAUUCCUUGUAAUCCUAGCGGUUAUUUUACUGUGAUGUAUUUGCAACUGAUUGUUGAUGUUAUUUCAUUUUUAUUUGUGAUGCCUUGCUUCACGCUAAUGUCAGUUUCUGGUUUUUUUUGCAG
rnacentral:lncRNA from 1 species